UCUCCGUUGGUGAACCAGCGGAGGGAUCAUUACCGAGUUUACAACUCCCAAACCCCUAUGUGAACGUUACCAAACUGUUACCUCGGCGGGAAAUUCAUGCCCCGGGCGCGUCGCAGCCCCGGACCAAGGCGCCCGCCGGAGGACCAACCAAAACUCUUUUGUAUGUCCCUCGCGGACUUUUAUAAUUCUGGACCAUCUCGGCGCCCCUAGCGGGCGUUUCGAAAAUGAAUCAAAACUUUCAACAACGGAUCUCUUGGUUCUG
rnacentral:misc_RNA from 1 species